rnacentral:rRNA from 1 species
GAUGAACGCUAGCGAUAGGCCUAACACAUGCAAGUCGAGGGGCAGCACAUGCGUAGCAAUACAAUGGUGGCGACCGGCGCACGGGUGAGUAACACGUAUGCAACCUACCUUUAACAAGGUGAUACCCCGUUGAAAGACGGACUAAUAACCUAUAAAACAGGGAUCCCGCAUGGGAAUAUUUGUUAAAGAUUUAUCGGUUAAAGAUGGGCAUGCGUUCCAUUAGAUAGUUGGUGAGGUAACGGCUCACCAAGUCAACGAUGGAUAGGGGAACUGAGAGGUUUAUCCCCCACAUUGGAACUGAGACACGGUCCAAACUCCUACGGGAGGCAGCAGUGAGGAAUAUUGGUCAAUGGAGGCAACUCUGAACCAGCCAAGUCGCGUGAAGGAAGACUGCCCUAAGGGUUGUAAACUUCUUUUGUAAGGGAAUAAAGUGUAGUACGUGUACUAUUUUGCAUGUACCUUAGAAUAGGAUCGGCUAACUCCGUG